UUGACGAUUAUGCCUUUAUUGGCAAGAGACGUGGACUUAUUCUUAACGCUUUCCAUUUUAUUUCUCGCUAUCGCAUUUAAAUUGUACACGCUAGUACGUGUGUGCGUAAAAUUUUAAAGUGUAAAAUCCUACCUGUGCACUUCCCUUCAUCAUUCGGUCUCCACUAUCCCAUUUUUUUUCUGUAUGUUCUGUCCCCUCCCUCAAAUCAGAAAAGCAUCUUUCUAUCUCUCUCUCCCUUCGAACACUCCCUCUCCCUCUCUCUCUAUACACGGAUCAUCACCAAAGUUCAUCAAAUCUUCAUAGAUCGAGGAAACAAAGAUCACCAUCGUGUUCAUCUCGUCAAUACGAGUUCAUCCAUACUAGUUUCAGGAGUUUUUAAGCUCAUAGUGAGCUUAAGGAGGUUCUUAGGAAGCUCGGAGUGCUUCGUUGGAAGUUUUGGAUGCCAAAAACACAGAGAUCGGAAAGUUCAAAGUUUGGCCGGAACUUUCGAGGCGUUUUACGGCCAAACCACGGAGAGUUAGAUGUCGUGCGAGUUUCCGGCGAGUCCGACGGCUUUCGAGGCUUUUUCCGGUGAAUUCCCGGCGAGUUAAGGGUCGAGACAGGUAUAUAUGUGUUCGUCUCGUCAAUAUCUUCAUUUUUAUAUAAAGUACGUUGAAAAUGGUGAAGAAAUGACAAAGUUAUGGCAAUUUGAAAAACUGCCCAGAAACCGGCGAAAAAAGUCUGGCGAGCCGAGGAAGAAGGAAAACCCGAAGUUUUUCGUUCAAGAACCGUGGCCUUUUAGUCACUUUCAAACCAUUUUUCUGGUCAACCUCGACCACAACUGAACUUCUUCUAGAUUUUCGCGAAGAAGGCAAGUACAGUGUACGCGUGGGGGCGCGUCCGGCAUCCGAUCGGCGCGUGGUUGACGCGUGUGCGUUCGUGUCGUCGAGUAGAUCGAUUUCAUAUAUUUAUACCCUAGGUUUGAGCAAACUAUGGGCAUUUUAUGUAGGUUUCCGUUAUGUACGUUAAUUAAUGAUAUUUAGUUAUUUCACAUAUAGGGGAAACUUAUUCCGAGGAUUUUCGAGGCCAAGCUAGGCUCGGGGGCUACGACCCAACGACGUACGUACUUGACCUAAAUAAUUGUACUCUCUGUGGCAUUCGAGGAAUCACGACAGUUCUGACAUUUCCUUCUGUUUAGACGUACGAACUUAUCACUACUAUGUAAUAAGUGUACUUUGGGUUGCUUUGACUACUCUUUCGUAGUCUCACUGUCUAUUACGCUUUGAAUAAUUGUAGUGGGUUCAACCCACGAAUUGCGCACUCU